CACCUCUUCCUCCGUAGCUACCUUCAAUAACCUUUGAUUCAUCUGAGGAGAAAUUGAUGAUCCUAUCUCCUCCAGGAAACUAUCAAAUUCCGUAGGAUUAGUAGAAUUAAACAAACCAUCAAAAUAAUCUACCGCCACCUUCUCAACACCAUUUUCAUCUGUGAUCUAAUUACCUGCUUCAUCAUGGAGGCCCACUAUUUUAUUUCUAAUCCGCAUUUGCUUUGUCAGAGCAUGAUAAAACUUGGUAUUCAGAUCCCCGGAUGAGUACCACAUAUUUCGGCUCUUCUGAUGCCAAUACUCCUCCUCAUCCUUAUAGACUUCCUGUAAUUUCCUGGAAAUCUCAAGAAUAUCCUCUUGGGUUCUAUUGUU
rnacentral:lncRNA from 1 species